CAGUCGCCGCGGUAAUACGUAGGUGGCAAGCGUUGUCCGGAAUUAUUGGGCGUAAAGGGCUCGCAGGCGGUUUCUUAAGUCUAAUGUGAAAGCCCCCGGCUCAACCGGGGAGGGUCAUUGGAGACUGGGAAACUUGAGUGCAGAAGAGGAGAGUGGAAUUCCACGCGUAGCGGUGAAAUGCGUAGAGAUGUGGAGGAACACCAGUGGCGAAGGCGACUCUCUGGUCUGUAACUGACGCUGAGGAGCGAAAGCGUGGGGAGCGAACAGGAUUAGAUACCCCAGUAGUCCCUGUCUCUUAUAA
rnacentral:rRNA from 1 species